CCAGCAUCAAGUUAUGAUAGAGUAUGAUGCGGAGGAGAGGUAGUAGGGGAGACCAUGCAGGAGAUGCAUUCCUUUUUCGAUAUGCUUGUGAGGCGGUUCGACAUCAUUUCCAUACUGCUCAUAGAUUGGUGAUUGAUGGAUGCUGGUUUCAAGGACUGGGUGUGGGAUGGGGUUUGGAUAAGUGUAUCUUAUAUGUAUGUAUGUGAUAUAUUUACUUUAUAUUUGAUUAGAAUAAUUUCGUAACUGACUUCUAAUAACUUUAUAUAGAGGAGGUAUGACUUCUCAGAUCAUAAGAAGGCUCGAGA
rnacentral:lncRNA from 1 species